UACAGAGGUCUCAACCGUUGUUCGGAUUCAUUGGGCGUAAAGGGUGCGUAGGCGGCGGGGUAAGUCAGGUGUGAAAUCUCGGGGCUCAACCCCGAAACUGCACUUGAUACUGCCUCGCUUGAGUACUGGAGAGGAGACUGGAAUUUACGGUGUAGCAGUGAAAUGCGUAGAUAUCCGGAGGAACACCAGUGGCGAAGGCGACUUUCUGGCCUGUUCUUGACGCUGAGGCGCGAAAGCUAGGGGAGCAAACGGG
rnacentral:rRNA from 1 species